AAUGGCAGGGACCCACACAUGUGAAACGGAGCUCAUUAAUAACCGAUCAACAGCAUAUAUGACGCAAUGUACAUAAUAUAUAAUUUUAUUAUUUAUAUAUGUAUGGAAAGUAAAUAAUACAUGGAAGAAAUGAAAGGUCUUUUUUACGUUUAGUCAUCCCUGCUGGGGACCCACAGAAAAUGUUCGAAUUGGGCCCUGCACUUCCUAAAGCCGGCCCUGCCAACCUGGACCAUACCAUGUCCCUGAAGGACACCAGAAUCUGGAGAUUAAACCUGAGUUUUAUUCGUCAGUGGAUUUACAUGCUACGAGUUGCCGCAGUUUUGACAUUUCACUAGUAGAGUCAUAGAAAAAUCUAUAUUAAGGUUUGUUUGUUUGUUUGUACUAACCAGGUUAAAAUUUGGCCUAUCUACAUAAUGUAACAUGGUUUUCUUCAUUUGGAUUAACUCCCAUACCAUACAUAUAGCACAUCAGGCACAAUAUGUUUCUUUUAAAUUGUAUGGACCGAAGCAUUGUGAUAUAUUUGUACCUGUUUGAACUGCUGUCAAAUACUUUCAAGUCUGCUUAUAUGGCUUUUUCCUGCUGGUACUUAGCUGAAUAGAGAUGGUUUGGAUAAAACACUAAUAUAUGCAUGCCUUCACCCAAAAUUUGAAAUGAAUCUUUUGUAAGGUUUAAACAAGUUUUAAAAUGAGAAGGGAGGGGAGGAGAAUGGUUUCACUUGUUCCCUUCCUCUGCACUUUCUGGUUCUAACUCACUGUGAAAGUAUCUAUAUGCUGAAAGGUUUCAGAGGGAUAGCCGUGUUAGUCUGUAUCAGCAAAAACAACUAGUAGUACUUGUGGCACCUUAGAGACUAACAAAUUUAUUUGGGCAUAAACUUUCGUGGGCUAAAACCCACUUCAUCAGAUGCAUGGAGUGGAAAAUACAAUAGGAAGAUAUAUAAACACACAGUACAUGAAAAGAUGGGAGUUGCCUUACCAAUGGGGAGUCAGUUCUAACGAGACAAUUCAAUUAAAGUGGGCAUCAUAGGACUUAACCACAUCAGCCACACCAUUAGGGGCUUGUUUACCUGCACAUCUA
rnacentral:lncRNA from 1 species